rnacentral:tRNA from 1 species
ACGCCGCGCACCGUGGCGCUCGCGGGCCCGUGGCUGCUGGCCUCGGGGACGAACCGCGCGGCGUGGAUCGACACCACGACGGCGCC